AGUGGACAUGAGCAGAGCAGUCAUAAAUAAACAUCAGUGGCUUUUCCAGUCCAUAGCCCUAUCCCAGUUUCUUCAAAUCAAUUCACAUCUUUCCCCAUAUGAAAAGAGAAGAUAUUAAUAAUACCUACCUUCAACAACCAGAGUGUCAUGAGGAUCAAAUAAAAUAAUGGUUUUGUAAUAGAACAUAGUACAUUAUUAGUAGUAUGAAAAUUUGUUCCUCUUAAUCGAGUAGUUGGCAAACUAUGGACCACAGAUAAAAUCUGUCCCACAAUCUGCUUUUGUACAACCUAAAGGUAAAGAGUCUUUUUACUUUUUUAAAGGAUUAUUAAAGGAAGAAGGAGAAGAAACAGAAAAAAGAGGAAAACGAAGAGAGGAGAGAGGGGAUUAGAAUAUGUAACAGAACCCACAUGUAACCUACAAAACCUAAAAUAUUUACCAUCUGUUCCUUUACAGAAAAGGUUUAUGGAUCCCUGUCUUAACAAAGAAAACCUAUUUCUUUCCUUCCUGCAAUAUAUUGCAAAAAUGGCCUCAAUUCUUUAUGACUCCCUGUGCUGUGUAACUAUUCAGUGCCCUCCUGCUUUGACCCUGACUUCAUGCUUGACCAGUGGAAUGCUAGCCAAACGGGGUUGAAAAGCACCAGUAGGAUUGAGAUUACUCCCUCUUGUGUCUCAGCCAUUACUCUGAGAAAAUUCCUGAGCUAGCCUGCUACAAGAUAGGAGUGUCAUGGGACAAAGCCAAGUCACCUCAGUCAUCAUGGCUGAAGCCAGCAUAGAUCAGCCAAAAGGCAGCUGACUCCCAGACAUGUGAGCAGCCCAGCCAAGAUCAGCAAAAUUACCUACUUGAUGGUUGACCCCAUAUGCAUGGGCAAUAAAUAUGACCUAUUUUAUGCUACUGAGACUGUGUGUAUACUUUAUCCUUUUCUCCUACCACAUACAAAGGAUGCCCCCAAAAGACAAGAACUCUCUCACUAGACUUCUUAGUGUUCAAUAAGAACAAGUUAUCUCUACAAGUUCCCAUCUUUGCUUUGGGAUUCAAACCAAUGCUUGAAAUCCAUGGCCUCUCCACACCUUGCAGAAGACACUCAAGAAGACAGAGAUGGUAUAGCCUUGGAAAUAGAGCUCUCAUUCUUACCAGUGCUCCAUUCUUCCAGAUGCUGGACAUGGUAUCACAAGUCCUGCAUCACUAGUUAAAACCUGCCUGUCCCAGCUGAAUACCGUGGUCUCUAUUCAUUCAUUCAUUCAUUCAUUCAUUCAUUGAAAAGCAUUUCUCUGUAGUGCCUUUGUAGCAAGCAUUCUGCUAACCCUGGCAUACAGCCCUGAUAUCAAGGAGCUUAUCUGUGAGGCAGGUCACAUUUCCAAGCAUUUCUUCAUUAGCACUGCCAUGGUGGAGUGCCAGCAGAUACUGUAGCUCCAUAACCUAUUAUAACCUAUUCUCAGUUGUGCAAGUACAGAUUCUGUAAAUUCAAUACCAUUUGGCUAUGUUUAGCAAGAAAAAUUGAAACACAGACACAGACACGCACCAGAAAUGCCUUGGUCCCUUUGAAAGUGAUGAAAUGGUAUUGGAAGACAAUCUGGAGUGAGAGGCCCAAAGCUUUAUCAUGUUCUCUACAGGGAGAUGCCUCUAUCCCCUGGACUUGGAAACAUGGAUGAGCUGUCCUGGUAAUUAACUUUGCUCAAAUCAACUUAGAAUUGAAACACAAAUGUACAGUUCUUUCUUUGAUGAAAUAGUGUGGUUGUAUUAAAAUAUAUCCACAAAGUAUUUGAAACUUCUCCCUCAGGAAGUGGAAAUUUUUGCCCUUCCCCUUAAGAGUGGCAUUGGACUUGGUGAUUUGCUUCUAAUGAAUUAGAACAUGGUCAAAGUGAUUGUGUGUGACAUCUAACACUAGGACAUAAAAGACUUUUGGAUCCCUUCCUUGCUAUGGCAUAUAUCUCUGGGAUAUAUGACUGUAAAAAGCCAGUUGCCAUGCUGUGUAGAUACACUAGCAGUCCCAUAGAAAGGCCAGGUGGCAAGGAACUGAGGCCUCCUGCCAGUAGUCAUGUGAAGGCACCAUCUCAGAAGCAGAUCCUCUAGCCCCAGUCAAGUCCUCAGAUGAGACUGCAGCCCCAACUAAAUUUUGAUGUUAAUAUCAUGAAAGACUCUGAACCAAAACCACCUAGCUUCUGAACCAGAAACUGUUCAAAAGAUAAUAAAUAUUUUUAAGCAACUGGGUUUGGGGAUAACUUUUAUGCAGCAAUAGAUAAUUAGUACACAAAGAUAACAUUAAAUGAUUAAAACCACUCAUAGCUAUGUGUGGAGAGGUGUAUGGGUGGCUCAGUUGGUUAAGCAUCCAACUCUUGAUUUUGGCUCUGGUCAUGAACUCAGGGUCAUGAGAUCAAGCCCCAUGUUGGGCUCCAUGCUAAGAGUGAAGCCUGCUUAAGAUGCUCUCUCUCCCUCUCCCUCUCCCUCUGCCUCUUCCGAUCCACCUUCCCACCCCUGCUCACAUGAUCUCUUAAAAACAAAAACAAAAAAUUUAAAAAACCAGCUAUAGUUGACCUAACUGACCUGAUAAGAAAGAAAUCACGGGACAUGAAUGGGAAACCCUGCUUUUCUUCACACCAGCCUGUAUUUAUCUGGCAAAUUGAACUAUGGGAAUUCUGAUUUUGUUGCUACCACCUGCAUGAAUGGAUCUGUUUUUGUUGCCAUUAAAACCAGAAGUGCAGAAUUUGACUGGAUGUUAAAGAUGAUAUCCAUGUUGCCAUGUUAAAGAUCUUGUGACUAUCACAAUUCCUUGUAUUUGAAAAACAAUAGCGUUCUCAUUAAUUUUUACUUUUGAACAGAAUUAAGGUUUACUUUUUGUUGAACUUGCAUAGUUUACAUUUUUUUAGUAUUUUUAGAAAGUAGUCCUUAAUUUUCAUCUGCAAGAUCUAGAGUGAUCUUCAGUAAAUACUUUUUAUAGUCUAUGAUGUAAAUGAGAAUGGAGUCAAUCUCAAAUGUGACACAAUAGAUUGUAUACAAAAUGUUUUGUAAAUGAUUACAUCACUUCUUUUCUGACUAGCGAGAGUUGAAAAAUUUCAUCAGUAUCAAAAGGCUCUGUGAACACCAAAGGAUUAACAAUCACAAAUCCAGCCAGGAGUUUUUCCUUGUCAAUCCAAUCUAUUUCACAGAGAGUAGAUGUCACCUGUAUUUUGGGCUUGCAAGGGAGAAAAGUAACUCCCAGAGAAGCAUUAGAAAGGCUUAGUGUUGUGGAAAGAAUGACAAAUGUGUGUAGAUAAAGAAUAUAUUUGGCAGGCUAGUAGAUUUGGGACAUUUAUCUGCAAGGCUGCUUUAAAUGGGUUAUGGUUGAUUUAACUCUGUGUUUAAUGUCACUCAAUAUCUUGUAUAUAAUCUGUUAAAAAUUAAAUGUACUCUUAUAAAUCCAAAAGUUAUUCGGCUAUAUUUUGUCAGGCUGCAGUGCAUAGCAUUGUGCCCGCAUGUUCAGAUCUCCUGCUGUUCCAACUCUAUGGAGAAUCAAUCAGUGACUUAAUAAUCAUGCUUCUUGCAAGAGUUCAGAUAAGGACUUUGACCUUAGGCCAACAGAAAACUUCCUAUCCCUGAAAAGAGUGUUAUGUGGCUUGUGUGGACCCUGACAAAGGACACCUAUCCCAACAGUGCUGUCAUAUUUCCCUCUUCUGGAAUCUAACUCCAAAGCUACUUUGGAAGAAGCAACACACAGGGAAGCCAAGGAAGGGACAAAAAGUUAAAUCCCUCCUGCUCAUUCCUAUAGCCACAUGUUAGCCCUGCCAUGGGUGGUAGAGAUAGAGACAGGG
rnacentral:lncRNA from 1 species